rnacentral:rRNA from 1 species
GACGAACGCUGGCGGCGUGCCUAAUACAUGCAAGUCGAACGCAGUGGGGACGGGUGGGUAACACGUGGGUAACCUCCCAUCAGAGGUGAUAACGUUUGGAAUCAGGUGCUAAACCGAUACUGAUGGAUGGACCCGGGGUGCAUUAGCUAGUUGGUGGGGUAACGGCUCACCAAGGCCACGAUGCAUAGCCGACCUGAGAGGGUGAUCGGCCACACUGGAACUGAGACACGGCCCAGACUCCUACGGGAGGCAGCAGUAGGGAAUCUUCGGCAAUGGACGAAAGUCUGACCCAGCAACGCCGCGUGAGUGAAGAAGGUUUUCGGAUCGUAAAACUCUGUUGUUAGAGAAGCGGUAUCUAACCAGAAAGCAACGGCUAACUACGUGCCAGCAGCCGCGGUAAUAC